UACGUAGGGGGCGAGCGUUGUCCGGAAUUACUGGGCGUAAAGGGCGCGCAGGCGGCCGUGUAAGUCCGCUGUGAAAGCCCCGGGCUCAACCUGGGAAUGGCGAUGGAUACUGGCUCGCUAGAGUGCGGUAGAGGAGAGUGGAAUUCCCGGUGUAGCAGUGAAAUGCGUAGAGAUCGGGAGGAACAUCAGUUGCGAAGGCGGCUCUCUGGACCAGCACUGACACUGAGGCACGAAAGCGUGGGGAGCAAACAGG
rnacentral:rRNA from 1 species